CCUACGGGGGGCUGCAGUGGGGAAUAUUGGACAAUGGGCGAAAGCCUGAUCCAGCCAUGCCGCGUGUGUGAAGAAGGCCUUCGGGUUGUAAAGCACUUUCAGUGGGGAAGAAAGCCUUGGGGCUAAUACCCUCGAGGAAGGACAUCACCCACAGAAGAAGCACCGGCUAACUCCGUGCCAGCAGCCGUGGUAAUACGGAGGGUGCGAGCGUUAAUCGGAAUUACUGGGCGUAAAGCGCGCGUAGGCGGUCUGAUAAGCCGGUUGUGAAAGCCCCGGGCUCAACCUGGGAACGGCAUCCGGAACUGUCAGGCUAGAGUGCAGGAGAGGAAGGUAGAAUUCCCGGUGUAGCGGUGAAAUGCGUAGAGAUCGGGAGGAAUACCAGUGGCGAAGGCGGCCUUCUGGACUGACACUGACGCUGAGGUGCGAAAGCGUGGGUAGCAAACAGGAUUAGAUACCCGAGUAGUC
rnacentral:rRNA from 1 species